AUGUAGCUGUCCAGUUUUGCCAGCACCAUCUCUUGAAGAGACUGUCGUUUCCCCAUUGUAUGUCCAUGACUCCUUUAUCGUAUAUUAAUUGACCAUAUAUGUUUGGGUUAAUGUCUGGAGUCUCUAUUCUGUUCCACUGGUCUGUGGCUCUGUUCUUGUGCCAGUACCAAACUGUCUUGAUUACUGUGGCUUUGUAGUAGAGCUUGAAGUUGGGGAGCGAGAUCCCCCCCACUUUAUUCUUCCUUCUCAGGAUUGCUUUGGCUAUUCGGGGUCUUUGGUGUUUCCAUAUGAAUUUUAGAACUAUUUGUUCCAGUUCGUUGAAGAAUGCUGUUGGUAAUUUGAUAGGGAUUGCAUCGAAUCUGUAUAUUGCUUUGGGCAGGAUGGCCAUUUUGAUGAUAUUAAUUCUUCCUAGCCAAGAGUAUGGGAUGAGUUUCCAUUUGUUAGUGACCUCUUUAAUUUCUCUUAAGAGUGUCUUGUAGUUUUCAGGGUAUAGGUCUUUCACUUCCUUGGUUAGGUUUAUUACUAGGUAUUUUAUUCUUUUUGAUGCAAUUGUGAAUGGAAUUGUUUUCCUGAUUUCUCUUUCUGCUAGUUCAUCGUUAGUGUAUAGGAAAGCAACAGAUUUCUGUGUAUCAAUAUUGUAUCCUGCAACUUUGCUGAAUUCAGAUAUUAGUUCUAGUAGUUUUGGAGCGGAGUCUUUAGGGUUUUUUAAGUACAAUAUCAUGUCAUCUGCAAAUAGUGACAGUUUGACUUCUUCUUUACCAAUCUGGAUUCCUUGUGUUUCUUUGUUUUGUCUGAUUGCCGUGGCUAGGACCUCCAGUACCACGUUGAAUAACAGUGGGGAUGGUGGGCAUCCCUGUCUUGUUCCUGAUCUUAGGUGAAAAGCUUUCAGCUUCUUGCUGUUAAGUAUGAUUUUUCAGGCAUUUUUGUUGGUGGCAAAACUUCUAGCAUUAAAUGAAGAAGUUUUUAUUUCUUUAGAAAAGAAGACCAAAGGGGAUAAAGAUUGAGACCUUUGAAAUGAGAGCUCAGGAACAGCACAUGCAAAACGUGGUAAUUUAUCUGCCUUGAGACACGGUGUGAUCGCAAUACUAGCACGGCUCUCACUCCUCCGGAGAACUUCCAGUUGUCGUUAUCCAUGCAUGUAUUAUUUCCAGUGCACUCUUCUUAGGAAAGGAGCUCUGUGAGAAGAAAGGGAAGCCCUCGCACUGGACAGCCCAUUGCCUACACAGUGUAUGGGCGUACGGGGGGCCCUGCUCUGUAUUCGCCGAAAUCCCGCUGCAGAUGAAAAUAUAACAUUGGCAUUACUCUAGUUUUUUCAUGCUUUAUGAAUGUGAUGUAUGAGGAAAAAAACAGAAAACAUCACCGAGUACCCACUUGUCCAAGGAGUGUUGGCAAUACCAAGGAUUUAACAAAUUCACACACACACAGACACUCCUCGCCUUUAAGCUGCUUAGUAAGACAUCCACACAAAUAACGAAAUACUCCAAUAGGUAACUCCCCACAUAUGCCCCAAGGAACUAUGAGGUAUGGCAGAGUUCCAAGGAAGGCCAAUUCACGGAAGAGAGGGAAGCUUUAGAAGAGGGAGAAGGUCACUUCCUGACUGAUGGAGACAAGAUUCAGGGGGAAGAGUGAGGCCAGAAAGCUCUACAGGAGCUGUGUGUAUAAGUCUGUGUGGGGGCUACUGUAGAAAACUGGUUCUGACCUUUAAUGAUGUACCCAAUGCUCCCCUGGGCCCAGGGAUGGAAGGCUGCCCUUGUAAUAAGGUCCAAAGUGAACUGCCAUCACUGUCACCAUCACUGUCUCCUUCGUGGGGGGACGUCAGCCUGCAGCCUCUACAAUGUGCGAGGAACGAUUUAUGGGCACAUGAUGUAGAGUGUGACAUGCCUGUGCUGGCUGUUAUCAACUUAGGGGGAGAUGCGGGAUUUGGGGGUCUGGUGGCUGGAAGCCAAGCAGCCUGAUCCCCAAUCACAUCUCCAUCCCCUUCCAGCUCUGGAUCAGAGGGACACUAUGUGACUCAGUCCUCGCCUCUCAGACCGAGGACAGCCACAGUCCCACACUGGGAGCACGGCUGUGGUGUUGUGAGUGCUUUGACAUCAAUUCUCAUCCAGCCUAGGCACCCGGCCAGAGAAGGCCCGCCCUCAGCCCACCACACAGAGCAGUUGGUCAGCCAGUCCUGAACCUGCAGGUGCUGCUAAAAAGCCCAGCAAAGAAGGCACUGCCUGGAGACAGUGUCCAGAACAGCACGGUUCAGGCUCAAGUUCUUGGCUCUGCCACUGGUGGCUGCAACCUGCCUGGGUCUAGAGAAAGUGAGAGCUUCUGCAGCAGAGGGGGAUCCUUCUUGGCCUGAACAGCAGGAGAAAGCAAGCAUAUGGGUUCUUAAUCAGUGCCACCGGUGUCUAUUUUCUUGCCUGACCGGGUUGUGAUCAGAGACCCUUCAAUUAGGCCGCUCUGAGGUCUCUGGAGUUGUGAUCCUGCAGAAUGGUUAGACCUGCCCCCGCAGCGCCGGCCCCCCACCCUCCACUGUCUAAGGGGCAGCAGGUGAGCGUGAGUGGCCAGCAUCUGGCAGUGGCCCUGCUGAAGGUAAACACUCCAACUUACAUCAUAAUUUGGGGUGAAAGCUGUCAAGAAGCUGAAGGGAAAAUUAUUUAUAGGAUUUCUUUUCACGAUUUAAUAUCAGAGUAGCAAAAGCUCCUAUUAAUCCUGGUUCCCUUCACAAAAUAGUCGAAGACUUGGUCCCAAGACCAAUGUCUGAGGGUCUUAUUUUAGUUCACAGUUACAGUAUUUAAUGUGCUGUCACUGUCUGGGAAGGGAAAGAAAUGUCCCCCAACAGCAGAAUCUUACUGCUAUUUAAUUGCCUCAAGAGACGUAAGAGCUCUCUCUAGAGAUGGAGACCACAGGAGACCUCCAGAGCGCAGGCUGGUGGUACUGACAGAGAACGGCACUGAGUGUCCUGCCCGUCUGCGCACAGGGAACUAAGCUCCCGCUGAUUAAAGGGAGGGAAACACGGUGCGGACCUGACACCAUUUGAGGGCGGUGUUUUCUUUCCACGAUCUGCCCCAAUAUGAAAUACUCUCCUAAAAUCGUUUAAAGCAGCCCUUGUUUCUCCAGGGACGGAAGCAAGUUUGUGUCAUUUCUUGUUUCUGCUCUGAGCCUGCUGGCGUUGACCCUGCAAGAACCUUCAGGACAAAGCUCAGGUCCUUGGCAUUUGUUUCCAGGCACACUGAGGACCGAGAGCCAGAGCCGCUGGGAGAUCUGCUCGGAAUUAUGUCAGCAUGAAAAGGCACUUGGCUCUGUGCUUCUCCAGGAUGUGAACAAAUUCUCUGCCAGCCUGAAUACAGCAGGGCUUACGCCCCCAGCCUCUUUCUCCAGAAUGGUUCUCUUCUUCCAACAUGAGCUGAGUUCAUUUUUAUUUCACCAUCAGUGGUCAAUUCAAGACGAAAAUUUUAAUGCAUGCAUUAGCACCAACAUAGCCUCCUUUUCUACCAUCUGGCUGGGGACCUGCUUACUUUGGAGAUGAAACAGGGGCUGUAUCAGAGGCAACCGAUGAAUCCAACUGUACACACCCUUAAGAAACUUUCUGCCCAUCGCUGGAGCUAACAUUUUCGAUGAUCGUGGCAUGCAUGUUUGUGUGCAUAUACUUACUAUACACCCACUCUCUAAUGUUGUGCUCAUAAAAACAGAGCAACAUUAGAACCUUUUUUUCCUCCUCUGGCUUCCCUAAAAUAAAGCAGAAGAAAGGCACUGAUGAACGUUUCCAUCCAUUUCCAUUUCACAGAGGUGCCGUCAUUUGCACUGAUUUCUAAAGAAGCCAGACUUACAGCCGCUAAGAUCAUCCUCUACAUCAGAAACUUGUUGCUAUUUUCCAGUCCGUGUAAAAUAAACACGAAGCAAGCCAGCCUGGAGCAGAACUGAGGUCUCCUGCCAUGAGCACCCUAUGCUGGCCACGUGCAGGAGGCACCGUGGAAGUGGGCCUGCUGGCCCCAGUGACACCCUCGCAAUGGCGGCUGCAGCUGACAUCUUCAAGGCAACUGCAGAGAUGGCAGCCAGAAUCACCCCGCCACGUCACACCAGUGUUCCUGCCCUCAGAUUUGAACACACUGUGAAGGACGGUGGGAAGCACACCCGGGGCAGGGGCCUCUUCAGCACAUGCCUCUGUAUGACUACCCAUAAGGCUGGCACGAGGAUGCACAGAGGGGCUUCCAGGACACCCAGGACCAAACGAACAGUCUACGUGAGCAGGCGAGUGUUGGCCAUACUGUCCAGAGCGAUGGGCUCUUCCAGGGGGAGAGCAUGCAUUUGGUACGUACCCCUGAACAAGGCUUCCGCACUCCAACAGGAUGGCUAACACAGGGCUGAAUGAGUCACUAAAAAAUAACAACAGUUAACACGUAAUUUGCACCUAUUGUCUGCCUGGCCUGAUUCUGUGUGCUUCCAACUCAUGUAAUCCUUUUAACAAACAAAGAAUCCUACCUAACAGAAUCUCACCAUGUGCUUCCACUGAUGUACCCCAGGUACCCCACACACAAUGUGGCUCACAUACAAUAAAUCAUCGCUCUCCUGUCACGAUGUUCUCACAGCUCGGAGUCGUAGGCAGCAGGAAUUUUGGAGCCACCUUCUCCUAGGUAUGCUCACGUUCCCACGGAUGAUGGAUAAAUGACUCUAUGUGCAUUCAGUAUGCUAUGCUUUGCCCCACUCUCCCCCAUUUCCCUCUAAAAGGCUUUUCAGCAGCACGCUGACAAUCGAAAGACAAUUUUCUGAUUGACUUUGAAUACAUCAGUCACGAGACAGUCCAAUAAAUUGAGCUUUUGCUGGGGCAAGACUAUUCGCCCAGAGAACCUGAAAACCAAUGUGUGUUUUUUCCUAGACUCUGGAAGCCUGAAAUCUAAAGUUGACAGCACUUGGCUAAAAUGAAGGCACGAGUGUGCCAAAAUGGUAAUGACUUAUAAAAAUAAAUGUUACUUUUAAUAUUAUAAUAAUGUCAAGAAAUAGGGCAGCUCUAGAUAAACCCUCAUCCAAUGGGAAUUAAAAUUAGGCCAUCAUUCUCAUAUCUCUUCGGACUCACCAAACUAGGAAAAUGGGUGCUCGCGAGGUGAAAAGUCACAAUGCGUUCGUUCAUUAUUUCCUCAGAUCUUAGCAUCUCAUCUUUUUAAAAAAAUUCACUUUUGGAAAACUAUGUAUUUAAAUGAAUUAUUUUUUGCCACUGUAGUAGAUGAGUGCCUUUCUCUGAUUGUAUGUAAACCUAAAGAGACAAUGAAGGGGAUCCAUUUCCUUUUGAAGUUAUAUUUAUGACAAAGAAGAUAUGGUUUGUACUGUUUUCUUAAUGAUAAAAAAAACUAGUGUUGUACACAGAUUACAAGGGCCUAACCUUUAAUGUUCUUUAAAAAUAAGGAUGUAUGUUUUAAACGUAUCAGAAAGCUAUAAAUUAAAAACAAAGGACAUCUUAAAUAUUUUUCUUUCAAAAACAAUCUGCAUGGUUAAAUGAUAAUAUGUAUCGUCUAAUGUCUAUAGAAAAAAUUAAGUUAGAAUGCUGUUUGGAGUUAAUUCUUCAGCGCUGGUAGCUCUGGGUGGUAAUCAAUUUGCCCUGAGUGUGCGUUAACUUGUCAAUGGAUCAUUAUGGUACAAACGUGAGAGAAAGAGUUGGGUAAAAUUUUUUACCUGUACUUGAGAUGGGAAAAACGGC